AGCGGCCUACGGGGGGCAGCAGUGAGGAAUAUUGGUCAAUGGUCGGGAGACUGAACCAGCCAAGCCGCGUGAGGGAGGAAGGUACAGAGUAUCGUAAACCUCUUUUGUCAGGGAACAAAGGCGGGGACGUGUCCCCGGAUGAGUGUACCUGAAGAAAAAGCAUCGGCUAACUACGUGCCAGCAGCCGCGGUAAUACGUAGGUGGCAAGCGUUGUCCGGAUUUAUUGGGCGUAAAGCGAGUGCAGGCGGUUCAAUAAUGCUGAUGUGAAAGCCUUCG
rnacentral:rRNA from 1 species